AUAUGGGUAUUUCCCCGCCCCUUCGGGCUGUGGCCACGCCCCCAGGGAGCGGGACGCGCGGGGCGGUCGCCAAGCGUUAGUCAGCCGGAGAAAGAGGAAGUGGAAGGCGCCUCCUGUGCUCUCUGUGGCGUUGCGCGGAGACACUCACUCGCGCAUCACCGGGGACUGACGGUGGGGUGUCAGGAACGCCACGAGGCCGAGGUGACCCACGCUGUGCGGGAAGAGGAGGAAGCGGAGGAGGCAGAGCCGGCGCCGCACCAGCGGGCUUUGAGUUUCAUAGACGUAGGUUCAGAACCUGCUGGGGGCCAUGCCAGGCACUGCUGUAGGGAGAGCAAGGGGAGCCCUCGGCUAGUGCCCCCAGAUGAGUCAGAAGUAGAUUUCGAUCCUUACGGGUCUUUACGCGGGAAAUGAGAUGAUGGUGGAAUUUGCUCCAAGGGCUGGGCUAUUGAUGACUGAAGAUUGGGCUUGUUUUGGUAAUCAUUGAAGCUUGGUGAUGGGUACCUGGGGAUUCAUUAUAUUGUUUACUCUACUUUCCUUUAUAUUUUGAAAUUUCCCAUAAGAAAAGUACCUAGAAGUAAAAAUGGAGAGAGAAGAGCCAAAAAUUAAUCUCCCCAAAUGGAUUCUGCCCUCAAAGGAUUGAUGGUCCUUUGUCACACUCCCAAUAAUAAUUAGAAUAAUUGUUUUUGAGAAACUCUUCUCUGCCUCCCAGAAAAUCCGUCCUGAGUUCAGCUGCAGCAUCAACAUGCGCUGUUGAUGGAGCUCAGCACAGCCAACUGUCCAGGUGGCUUCUGGAUUUGAGGGAUUAUCUGUGGAUCAAGUAUAAUCUCAGGCUGUCUGACCCCACCAGUCCCCAGCAGUUCAGGCUUCCCAUCCCCAAUCUUGGGGAACUGGACGUGAUUCACCCAUUCAGCAAGUAUUUAGUGAGGGUCAGCUUUGUGCCCUACCAGCUGCAGGGACAUGCAUGAGGGAAACAAGCUUCUAUCCCAAAAUCAGGACCAACCAUUUUGUCGUGAGUGUGAUGAGGAAGGAGGCUGCCUGAUGGAAACACCAGGAGGGGCUUGUUUACUACCAACAGAGGGAAUGAGGUUUUUAGGAGGAAGCAGAAAUCAAAUUCUGAAAUCAAAUGCAAUCAAACCAGGCACAGAUAGCCAGCUAUUGCCUCUGGGUCUCAGCUGCCCUCUGUUAAGAGGUGCUGUCCUUGCUCUGUCAGUGGCAUCUUAAUUAAUAUGUGUUGUAGGCAGAGCAAGGGUUUUCUUUCUUUUGGGGAUUAUCCGUGCCAGCCUUCCCUGCAUUCUGCUCCUCCUCCAGUGUCACCAGAACCAUCCACCCCCUGACAUUUCAACCUAAGACCAACCUCCACACACAUGGAGCACCCACAUGGCCAGGCUCUGUAUUGGUUGCUAGAAACUAAAGUAAGCAGGCUCACUCUCUCCAGCUGCCCCCUGCUCAGAGAGGAGGCUUAGACUAGUCACAGGCCACUUUAAGAUCCUGUGGUCAGUGCAGAAGAACAUCCACGGUCUGCAAGGUGGGGCUGGAAUGGCGCCCUGGAGAAGACCUCCCAGAGCAGAGGAAGCUGAGGUGAACUUAAAAGAAUGAAUUGAGGUGAGCCAAGCCAUGGAGGGGGAGGGUGGAGGGCAUUCCAGGCAGAGAAAACUGCUGGAGGUAAAUGAGAAAAAAAAAAAAAGAGAGCUGAGCAUGGUAUGUGCUGGAGGUACGUGGGAGACUAAGGCAUUUCUGGCAUUUAUUAGAAAAUUAGGCAGGGUCAGGUGACAGAGGGACUUGGGUGCCAUUUAAGGCAUUUGGAUUCUUAUCCUUUGGCUGGGGCAGCCCUGGAUGAAGGGUGUUACUCGGUGACCUGGUCAGGGAGGGAUCUUGCCACCUCAUGAGGCAUUUUUGAAUGAGGCCAAAAAAGGAAACAAGCAUAUCCUGGGAGUUUUAUGAGAUGCCAGGUAUGUCCUGAGCACGUCGCUUAAUCUUCACAACCUCUCUAUGAUAUCCUGCUUGGCCAACUGGAUUCAAGGAUGGCUACCACACUCGACCCCCUCCCUGCUAACAUCCAUGCUGGGAAGCUUCUCUAGAAACAGCAUUUUUUCACCAUGAGGUCAAGGAGCCUGGAGGCUGACUCCAACAGAGCAGGCUGAGACCAGGUAGGUUUAAACACUCUGAGGAAGGCAGUGCAAGAACAGCAGUGUUUCCUGGGCUGCGGAGGCCUGGCCACACCUGGCUUUAACUGACUUGCUUCACAGUCAUCAUUCCCCACUGGGUACCGGAGGCACUGGGCUGGGCGUUUUGCUCCAUCCUCACCCCCACCGGGAAAAGCUGAUGGUAUCCCUGUUUUAUAGACCACAAAUGGUCAAGUUACUUUCCAAGGUCAUAGAGCAAAGUGACUAUGUGGUGGUGCUGGCGCUCAAGUUGCUUACAGACCCUGGGAGGGACUAAUUUGUGCAAACCACUGGCAGCUCUGGGCAGAAUGAAGUCGACAGACCUGGACCUGGAGAGGUAAGUGCAAAGCGCCUGGAAAGCUCAGAGAAAGAAGCAAUGAAUGGCUCCUGGGGAUGGCAGAGGAGGCCCCAAGGGAGGUGGUGGCAUUUGAGCUGGACCUUAGUAGAUUAAUUCAGCUUUGACAUUCAGAGAAGGAGGGGAAAGAAUACCAGGCAGCGGAUACAGAGUGCGCGAAGUCACGGAGGUGGGAAAACAGAGUAGAAAUGGCCGGUGGACUGAUGCAGUAGAGGGUGGAUGGUGGGACAGGGGAGCAAUGACACGGGGCAGGUCAGUCCACGCCUCUGCACUUGCUGGCCACUGGGAAAUCACCGGAAAGAUCUGAAUGGGGAAAUGACAAGGCCCAUCUGGCUUUAGGAAGGUAACUCUGGGGACAGAAGCCUGGGUGGAGAUAUUAGACUCAGGCAGACGAGAACGGUGAGUCACUCUGGUUCCCUAGUCAGUUUGUUCGUUUCUAAAGUGGGGAGGACCGUCCCUCCCUGACAUCUGUCCCAGGCUUGUGGUGAAAAUGCAAGAUGCGAAAGUGUGUUGGUGAGCCCCAUGGACAGAGGGGGAGUCAGAAUCAGGGCGGUUUGGGGGUGUGUGUGUGUUGAGGUACCUUGGCUGGAGACCCCAGUGACAUGGCUGCAUGACACAGGGGCAGCCAGAGAAGGUACAGGACAAGUGUAGGCGGAAGCAUGUGCCAUCAGAAUCCAUAUCUGGGAGCGGGGAGGGAGAGGAGAGAGAGAGCACCAGUGAAAUACCAAAGCCUGACCUGAAUCGGAACUGCAAUUACCCUUUUUUCCAUCUGAAUGGGGCUCAGAAGACAGAUUUCUCUUGCCUAGAGAACUUUAGGGACAGCUGUCCUGAGCCAGCAUCUUAUGGGGGUUUUGACCAGCACCAGCCUCUCCUCCAGCAUGUAGAUAAUCGUUGGAGAAACUGCAGCCAGGAGGGCUCAGGGCCCCUGUGAGAGUGACAGGAGCAGGACUGAGCCAGAGGGGUCUCUGAGGGUGUCCAGCCCUACUUCCUGCCUGAGCAGGGAUGGCCCCUGCAGUUUCCCCCGAGGGGGUUACCAUCACUAACCUCACCCCAGACCCACUCUAGCCCGAGUCAUUGUCAUUCUUCCGGCCCAGCUCCUUGGGGGCCAACUCUCAGCCCAGGCCAGCACCCUUAAGCCUCACAGCUCUAGGAAGUAAGUUUUUCGAUCCUUAGUUUCCGCAUGAAGACAGUGAGCCUCAAAGAGUCCAUGCAACUAGCAUGUGGAAAAGCUGAGAUUCAGACGUAAAGCUGGGACUCUAAGGGCCCCUGGGCUUUCCCCCACUGUGCCACGCACCUCUCAGACAGGGUCGAGGUAUCCUUUGUAGACUAAACAUCUAGAGGUCAGAGCGUAAGAAGCUAGUUACAGAAGGGCAAGGUAUGAGCUGAUGAGCUCAUUGGAAAAUUCUUCUUGGAGAAAGCAGUGUGAUUCUGGAGGAGGGAAGGGGCAGGCCAUUCUGGAGGCGUUGGACUGUCUGGGCCCAAACUCUGGGCUAGCUCAGUUUCUCUAAGGGUGGGAGGCUGUCUUUUCAGAGAGACUCAGGCCUGGGUCUGGGGGAGUAAGUCCAGUCUUCUCCUCCUCCGUGGAUUCCUUCUGGGUCUGUGGGCAUUUGGUCUUCAGGAACCCACAAGAGCACCCUGUCUUAAGACACUUGAUGGCUACUGAUGCCACGUUCACACCCUACAGCCAUCAAUAUCAGGGGUGUCCAGUGUGUGAGCCUAACCCGCCAGGGAUGGUUGGGUCGGAUAAUUCACAUUGCUCAGUGACACACUGGCUUGAUGGUGGAAACUUCCUCAUUCAGUGGAGAAACCACACCUUUAUUUUACAUUUGUGUAACCAAAGGGCCCAUUCAGUCAUUUCUCCCAACAAAGGGCUAAAGAUCUCAGAGGAGCUUAACCUUGCCUGUGGAAUAACCGCGGUUUCUUGUUCUCCUUUGGUUCUUCUUUUUUAAAAACCCUCCCACCUUCGCGUAACCUCACCAGUUCCAAGUGAAUCAGCCAUUCGAGUUACCUCUCCUCCAAAGCCGUAGCCUUCGUCGAGGCUCCAUCAGCUGUUAUGUUACUGACCAAUAAGUGCCCUGUCCCCCAGGCUCCCAUUCUCUUGACGGCAGCCCAUUUAUCUCCAUCCCACCCCAUCUGGGGCCAGAUUUGUCCUUCUUGCUUUUACUUCAGGUUUAAAUUAAUUUGUUGUUUUGAAAAAUCACAGUCACCCAGGAAUGUAAUAUGGAGCAUCAGAGAUCUCUACAAAGUUUGUCAUGAACAGCUGCAGCCCUGAUCCAUCUCCAAGGGUAACCACUUUCAACUCUUGAAGCUGAUUCUUUGGAACAUUCACUUUCAUAUCUCUAAGCAACAUUUCAGAUGGUUUUGUCUUGAUCUUCACAGUUUUAGGAAUAAUUUAUUGAUUCCCUGCCCUGAGAGAUGAGGAAUUCUUUCACCACCCUCAUUCAUCAAAUCUACUCCCUUGCUACUAUCUUCCCAAUACUGUAAUAUAUGAUGAUUUGAGUUGCUUCAUUAUUUAUUGUUGACCUGUAUAACCAUGAAAAUACUAUGACCAUCAGAGCCACAUGAUGGACUAGAUUACUUUUUCCCAUCUUUUCCUUGAAAUUUGCAUAGUAAUCAGCUCAUGGGCUGUUUCAGGCAUCACAGCCUAAUAAUUUGGCUCAACUAACCUCAGGCACUGACAUCACAAAACCAAACUCUCAGUUUCUUCUUGUGAAACAUCUGCAGUCAGACAAAUGGUGACUUUACCAGCAAGACCUGGUCCAAAAAAAAAAAAAAAUCGCUAGUAUCUACUUGCUUUAUGUGUCAUGCAAAGACCACUGAAUGGUGGCUAUGAGGUGGAUUCCAGAGUCAGAGUGUGUGGGUUUGAAUUCAUCAUCUUUCCAUGGCCUUUGACAGGUUACAUAUCCCCUCUGCGCUUCAGUUUCUUUACUUGUAAAAUGAAAUUAAAAGAUGAAACCAACUACUUCAUAGGACUCUGGGAUGAAAUGAGAGGAUACAAAUAAUGCACUUGACACAAGAAAAGCGUUACAAAUGGUAUUACUAUUACCAUUGGGUUAAUUAUUAGUGCAAACCCAGAAUGAAGAAUUAGCAUGCUUCAAAAAUGUGCAGCAUUUGCAAGUGGUUCACAGUCAUGUGCUCCCUGUCCUGAAGAGCCAGCCUUCCUGGACCAUCUUCUCUGCAGAGGGCAGUCCCUGAGCAUUAUAAGUGGGACCCUAGCCAGGUGCUGGGAGGUGCAGGUGUAGACUGGUGGGCUUCUGGGUUACCAGAAAAACAGAAAAACGGAAUGGUCUCUCCCUCCCUGUUUUCACAGCCCCCACUUCACUCUCUGGAACUGAUAUUAGGGCAUUACCAGCAACAGGGACUGUGUCACAUUAGUCUCAUUUCCUCUGGUUGCUCCUAGGAAAAGACUGACUGUUUGACCCCCUCCAGUUCCUUUCUUGUUUAUCGGGGGUAGGGUGGAGGGGGAGGUGUUAAAUCAACUCUAACAUGUACUAAUUUUAAGACAUUCAAACACUGCAGUGCAGAAAUACACAAAGGAAAAAUUAAAAAUGUUUUUUUCAGCUUAGAGGUGAUUGCUGUUAGCAGUUUGCUGUGUAUUCCUCCAGGAUUUUAUUUUCUAUGCUUCACAAUAUGUGUGUAAAAUUGGUUCAUACACUAUAUUCAGUUAUGUAUUACAAGGGAUAGAUAGUCAUAAAAUGAGAUCACACCAUACAGUCAAUUUUGCUACUUACUUUUUCAUGUAACAGUGUAUCAUGGACCUCUUUCCAGGUUGCUCUAGGUACGCUUGGCAGCAUGCUGUGUAUGUUGCUUUGCAUGGCUUCCAAUUCUCACCCCGACAAGCAGUUUUGUGAUGAGUAUGCUCAUGAGUAUACCUUUGCGUGUUUGUGCAGGUGUUUUGUAGAGCAGAGUCCUAGAAAGUAGCUUUCUACAGAAUGUAGAUGAAAACAGUCCUUAGCCCACUGAGUGAGGCCAGGGAUCGGACCCACAUCAUCAUGGAUGCAUUUGGAUUCAUGAAUCUGAACUAGUUGGAUUCGUUUCUACUGCGCCACAAUGGGAAAUCUUCUUUUCUCUCUUUAAAUAAACAAUUGUCUCGCCACCCUCAGUCUCUUUGCUGAGUUCUUUCUCCAAAGAGACCAAGUUUUGGGGACCUACACCAAGUGGUUAGUGUUCAGCCUUCUCAACCCGACAGCCACUGGAGAACAAAGGGCACACCCACCCAGGCCCUGUCAGCUUGCUCUCUGCUCCAUGGAACCUGGAACUCCUUGGGCAAGGCCUUCCUCCCUGGGACUCCAACCUCCUGAUAAAACAGCCGCCCUGGUUGCUGGGCACUGUCAACAAAACACUCCCCGCUGGCCCAGCCCUAGCUGGGGACCCAGAACAAUGGUCUCCCAGGGAGAGGCCCCAUUUCCCAAGGCUGGCUCAGAGGGAGACAUGGGGCUGGUAGCUGGGAGGUGGCUCCUGCUGCCUUGGUGUUUGGAACAAUUAUCAGAAAAUGUGGUCUCCUUUUACACUUUCAGAAGGGUGGGCUAUUUGAGUGGAGAGAGAGCCCCCUUGGAGCUGGUUUGUACAAGCAGACCCCAAGAGAGGCCUCUGAGGGGCAGGGAGGGUCCAGUGGACCCCAAACCCAGCUCACACCAGCUCCAAAGUCCAGCCAUCCCCCACCCCUGCUACAGUCCACACCAACCCAGGCUGGCAGGGGCCCCUCAGCAGCCUCGAGGCAUCCACUCCAGUCCUUCCCCAAGUUGUUCUGUAGUUUUAUCAUCUUAAGUAUUUUUUUUCCUGAUAACAUAAGUAGAAUGGGCUCAUUAUUAAAAAAUAUUACAGGAGUUCCUGUUGUGUCUCAGUGGGUUAA